CCAAGGAGUCAGUCGAUCCUUAAGGCCCGGGGGAGAGAUCCUCGUACCACGGGCGAAGGCGUUUUCGAAUCGCCCUUGGGGCGAGAGGGAAUCCGGUUCGUAUUCCGGAACCCGACGCGGAACCGCUCCCUAGUGUUCGGGGCUCUUUUGUCUCGUCUGGGUAACCAGAAUGAACUCGAAGAAGCCGCCGGGGGAUCUGGGUAGAGUUCUCUUUUCUCUGUGAGCGUUGUACGUCCCUGGAAUCCUCUAGCCGGGCGAUAGGGACGCGAGCGCGAAGAGCACCGCUCGUUGCGGCGGUGUCCGUGAUCCCCACGCGGACCUUGAAAAUUCGAGAGAGGGCCACGCGGAGUCUUCGCGUCGGUUCGUACCGAUAUCCGCAGCAGGUCUCCGAGGUGAGCAGCCUCUAGCCGCAUAGAAUAAUGUAGGUAAGGGAAGUCGGCAAAACCGAUCCGUAACUUCGGGAUAAGGAUUGGCUCUGAGGAGCGUGGCUGCCGGGUUCGGGUCGUCGUAGAAGCGUAGGCGUUUUUGGCGACACCCCGGCCGUCGCCCGUGCGCCCGGUCUUCGGAACGGGAGCCUCGAGGCGGCCGCGGGCCCGUCGCCGUCCGCCGACCGUGGAACCACCGAGCUUCGGUCGCUGGCCGCGUCGCGGCCGGCCGACCGCCUUGGUGUCGGUUCGCCGUCACCGGGCGGUCCGGCCGCCGCGCCGUCGGUCGCGUAGCCGGAUCGACAGCCAUGUAACGGUCAACUCAGAACUGGCACGGACCAGGGGAAUCCGACUGUCUAAUUAAAACAAAGCAUCGCGAUGGCCCGGGACGGGUGUUGACGCGAUGUGAUUUCUGCCCAGUGCUCUGAAUGUCAACGUGAAGAAAUCAAGCAAGC
rnacentral:ncRNA from 1 species